GACGAACGCUGGCGGCGUGCCUAACACAUGCAAGUCGAACGGAAAGGCCCUGCUUUUGUGUGGUUCUCGAGUGGCGAACGGGUGUGAAACACGUGAGUAACCUGCCCUUGACUUUGUGAUAACUUCAGGAAACUGGGGCUAAUACCGGAUAGGAGCUCCUGCUGCAUGGUGGGCGUUGGAAAGUUUCGGCGGUGGGGGAUCGACUCGCGGCUUAUCAGCUUGUUGGGGGAGUAGUGGCUUACCCAGGGUUUGAAGGCUAGCCGGCCUGAGAGGGUUAACAGGCACCAUAGGACUGAGGGAGGCACCAGACGGGUACGGGAGGCAACGGGGGGGAGUAUUGCACAGUGAGCGGGCGCCUGAUGCGGAGACGCCGCGAGCGGGAAGACGGCCUUCGGGUGAUGAACCGCUUUCGCCUGUGACGAAGCGUGAGUGACGGUAAUGGGUAAAGAAGCACCGGCUAACUACGUG
rnacentral:rRNA from 1 species